rnacentral:rRNA from 1 species
UACGUAGGGGGCUAGCGUUGUCCGGAUUUAUUGGGCGUAAAGAGCGUGUAGGCGGCCAGGUAGGUCUGGUGUGAAAACUCGAGGCUUAACCUCGAGAUGUCAUCGGAAACCAUCUGGCUAGAGUCCGGAAGAGGAGAGUGGAAUUCCUGGUGUAGCGGUGAAAUGCGCAGAUAUCAGGAAGAACACCAAUGGCGAAAGCAGCUCUCUGGGACGGUACUGACGCUGAGACGCGAAAGCGUGGGGAGCGAACAGGAUAGAUAC